UACGAAGGGGGCUAGCGUUGCUCGGAAUCACUGGGCGUAAAGCGCACGUAGGCGGAUCUUUAAGUCAGGGGUGAAAUCCCGGGGCUCAACCUCGGAACUGCCUCUGAUACAGCAGGUCUUGAGUCCGGAAGAGGUGGGUGGAAUUCCUAGUGUAGAGGUGAAAUUCGUAGAUAUUAGGAAGAACACCAGUGGCGAAGGCGGCCCACUGGUCCGGUACUGACGCUGAGGUGCGAAAGCGUGGGGAGCAAACAGG
rnacentral:rRNA from 1 species